GACGUAGGGCGCGAGCGUUGUCCGGAUUUAUUGGGCGUAAAGAGCUCGUAGGCGGUUUGUCGCGUCUGCUGUGAAAACCCGAGGCUCAACCUCGGGCCUGCAGUGGGUACGGGCAGACUAGAGUGCGGUAGGGGAGAUUGGAAUUCCGGGUGUAGCGGUGGAAUGCGUAGAGAUCCGGAAGAACACCAGUGGCGAAGGCGGGUCUCUGGACAGUUCCUGACACUGAGGCACGAAGGCCAGGGGAGCAAACGGG
rnacentral:rRNA from 1 species